rnacentral:tRNA from 1 species
GCCAGUGUGGUGUAGUGGUUUGAGCAUUGGACUAUGACUCUGGAGACCAGGGUUCAAAUUCCUGCUCAGCUA